CUAGCGACUUCAGAGUUUGAUCCUGGCUCAGAUUGAACGCUGGCGGCAUGCUUUACACAUGCAAGUCGAACGGGGUGAGGGGGCAACUCCUCAUUCAGUGGCGAACGGGUGAGUAAUGCAUCGGAACGUGUCCCGUAGUGGGGGAUAACCCAGCGAAAGCUGGGCUAAUACCGCAUAUGCUCUACGGAGGAAAGUGGGGGAUCGCAAGACCUCACGCUAUGGGAGCGGCCGAUGUCCGAUUAGCUUGUUGGUGGGGUAAUGGCUUACCAAGGCGACGAUCGGUAGCUGGUCUGAGAGGAUGAUCAGCCACACUGGGACUGAGACACGGCCCAG
rnacentral:rRNA from 1 species